AUCGCUUCUCGGCCUUUUGGCUAAGAUCAUGUGUAGAAUCCAGAGGCGGGUGGUGGAAAGACAGAGCAAGUGCUGGCGAGAGCAGGUCUGCCCUUUUCUUUUUUUUUUUUUUUUUUUUUUUUUUUUUUAAGAAAUCAAGAGUUAGCCAAUGUGCUGGUUAAGCAGAU
rnacentral:snRNA from 1 species